rnacentral:rRNA from 1 species
GGACUACAGGGGUUUCUAAUCCCGUUCGCUCCCCUAGCUUUCGCCCCCGAGCGUCAGGUACCAGCCAGGACACUGCCUUCGCCUUUGGUGUUCUUCCAGAUAUCUACGCAUUUCACCACUACACCUGGAGUUCCAUGUCCCUCUCUGGUCCUCGAAGUGCGACCGUUUUUGCCCACCUGGGCCAGUUAAGCUGGCCCCUGUCAGGGCAAACGCGCCGCACCGCCUGCGGGCCCUUUACGCCCAGUAACUCCGGACAACACUGGCCCCCUACGUAUUACCGCGGCUGCUGGCAC